AUAUCAUCCAUGCUGAGGCAUCUACGUGCACAAGAGCUAAAUUUAACGUUGAUUGGGAGCAUGAAGGAUAAAUAUUACCGAUUGGAAAAUUUCAUGGACAUUGACAUCUUGUAAUAAUGGAAAAAAGAUAAAAUAAGCUACUUUGCCUCCGCAUUCGAGGAUUUCAUUGUUACUUGCACGGAUAUUUACAUAUUUUACUUUUGAAAGUGAAAACACAAGAAACGGAGGAGGGGAGAGGGGACGAAAAUGGACGAACUUAUAAUGUCAGAGAUAGGACACUUGUGCUACAAUUGUAUUUACAUAUGCUAAACAAGUGUAGAUUAGGCAAACAACACUUCUGUAAAAGUAGCUAACUAUGUUUUUCCCUUGUCAAUAUUCUCGUUGAUUCUUUUUGAACAGAGAAAUAA